GAUGAACGCUGGCGGCGUGCCUAAUACAUGCAAGUCGAGCGAACGGACGAGAAGCUUGCUUCUCUGAUGUUAGCGGCGGACGGGUGAGUAACACGUGGAUAACCUACCUAUACGACUGGGAUAACUUCGGGAAACCGGAGCUACUACCGGAUAAUAUUUUGAACCGCAUGGUUCAAAAGUGAAAGACGGUCUUUCUGUCACUUAUAGAUUGAUCCGCGCUGCAUUAGCUAGUUGGUAAGGUAACGGCUUACCAAGGCAACGAUGCAUAGCCGACCUGAGAGGGUGGUCGGCCACACUGGAACUGAGACACGGUCCAGACUCCUACGGGAGGCAGCAGUAGGGAAUCUUACGCAAUGGGCGAAAGCCGGACGGAGCAACGCCGCGGGAGUGAUGAAGGUCUUCGGAUCGUAAAACUCUGUUAUUAGGGAAGAACAUAUGUGUAAGUAACUGUGCACAUCUUGACGGUACCUAAUCAGAAAGCCACGGCUAACUACGUG
rnacentral:rRNA from 1 species